GCAAGCAUCCUUUGAAGCUAUGGCAUCAAUUAUAAAUCGACUUCAUAAAAACUUAGAAGGAAAUCAUGACCAGCACGGCAGAAACAACCUUCUGGCAUCAUAUAUCUAUUAUGUGUUCCGCCUGCCAAAUACAUACCCUAAUUCUCCGUCACCAGGUCCCGGGGGUCUGGGAGGAUCAGUGCAUUAUGCCACAAUGGCAAGAUCUGCAGUGAGACCCGCAAGCCUUAACUUAAAUCGUUCUCGAAGCCUUAGCAACAGUAAUCCAGAUAUAUCUGGGACUCCCACAUCACCAGAUGAUGAAGUUCGGUCAAUCAUCGGCAGUAAGGCUGUGGAUCGAAGUUGUAAUCGUAUGUCUUCGCACACAGAGACGUCAAGUUUCUUACAAACAUUAACGGGACGCUUACCAACUAAAAA
rnacentral:lncRNA from 1 species